UACGGAGGGUGCAAGCGUUAUCCGGAUUCACUGGGGUUAAAGGGUGCGUAGGUGGGAAUGUAAGUCAGUGGGGAAAUCUCCGUGCUUAACAUGGAAACUGCCAUUGAUACUAUGUUUCUUGAAUUUUCUGGAGGUAAGCGGAAUAUGUCAUGUAGCGGUGAAAUGCUUAGAUAUGACAUAGAACACCAAUUGCGAAGGCAGCUUGCUACAGGGAUAUUGACACUGAGGCACGAAAGCGUGGGGAUCAAACAGG
rnacentral:rRNA from 1 species